rnacentral:ncRNA from 1 species
CCCGUGACCCACAGGGCAGCAGGCGACUCUCGCCACUAGUUGCUGCUCGUGGGAACGGGACGAAAUGUGGCCUGUCUGAGCCGGGCUCCGCCGUGAACCCCGACUCUCAAUCAGGCUGAAUCGCAAG